rnacentral:rRNA from 1 species
CGGCAUGCCUUACACAUGCAAGUCGAACGGCAGCGCGGGGCAACCUGGCGGCGAGUGGCGAACGGGUGAGUAAUAUAUCGGAACGUACCCUGGAGUGGGGGAUAACGUAGCGAAAGUUACGCUAAUACCGCAUACGAUCUAAGGAUGAAAGUGGGGGAUCGCAAGACCUCAUGCUCCUGGAGCGGCCGAUAUCUGAUUAGCUAGUUGGUAGGGUAAAGGCCUACCAAGGCAUCGAUCAGUAGCUGGUCUGAGAGGACGACCAGCCACACUGGAACUGAGACACGGUCCAGACUCCUACGGGAGGCAGCAGUGGGGAAUUUUGGACAAUGGGCGCAAGCCUGAUCCAGCAAUGCCGCGUGAGUGAAGAAGG